AUUGAACGCUGGCGGCAGGCCUAACACAUGCAAGUCGAGCGGAUGAGUGGAGCUUGCUCCAUGAUUCAGCGGCGGACGGGUGAGUAAUGCCUAGGAAUCUGCCUGGUAGUGGGGGACAACGUUUCGAAAGGAACGCUAAUACCGCAUACGUCCUACGGGAGAAAGUGGGGGAUCUUCGGACCUCACGCUAUCAGAUGAGCCUAGGUCGGAUUAGCUAGUUGGUGAGGUAAAGGCUCACCAAGGCGACGAUCCGUAACUGGUCUGAGAGGAUGAUAAGUCACACUGGAACGGAAACACGGUCCAGACUCCUACGGGAGGCAGCAGUGGGGAAUAUUGGACAAUGGGCGAAAGCCUGAUCCAGCCAUGCCGCGUGUGUGAAGAAGGUCUUCGGAUUGUAAAGCACUUUAAGUUGGGAGGAAGGGCAGUAAGUUAAUACCUUGCUGUUUUGACGUUACCAACAGAAUAAGCACCGGCUAACUUCGUGCCAGCCGCCGCCGUAACAC
rnacentral:rRNA from 1 species